rnacentral:pre_miRNA from 1 species
AGCAUAAUUGCUAGAUCAUAUGGUAAGAGUAUGUUUAGUUUUUUAAGAAACUGCUGAACUAUCUUCCAAAGUGUCCAUACCAUUUUCAUUCCCACCAGCAGC